AUUGAACGCUGGCGGCAGGCCUAACACAUGCAAGUCGAGCGGGGUUUUCGGACCUAGCGGCGGACGGGUGAGUAAUGCGUAGGAAGCUACCCGAUAGAGGGGGAUACCAGUUGGAAACGACUGUUAAUACCGCAUAAUGUCUACGGACCAAAGUGUGGGACCUUCGGGCCACAUGCUAUCGGAUGCGCCUACGUGGGAUUAGCUAGUUGGUGGGGUAAUGGCUCACCAAGGCGACGAUCCCUAGCUGGCUUGAGAGGAUGAUCAGCCACACUGGAACUGAGACACGGUCCAGACUCCUACGGGAGGCAGCAGUGGGGAAUAUUGGACAAUGGGCGCAAGCCUGAUCCAGCCACGCCGCGUGUGUGAAGAAGGCCUUCGGGUUGUAAAGCACUUUCAGUAGGGAGGAAGGGUGUUGUGUUAAUAGCACAGCAUUUUGACGUUACCUACAGAAGAAGCACCGGCUAACUCUGUGCCAGCAGCCGCGGUAAGAC
rnacentral:rRNA from 1 species